rnacentral:lncRNA from 1 species
GAUAGUGGAAGGAGAUGGUAGUCCUACUGGUAAUGAUAGAUCAUGUAGUGACUUGUACGUAAUGAUUAAUAGAAGGCCUCAGCUUUCCAGCUGAGGGAAAUGAGAAUGCCAUUGGAGGGUUUUGAGUACAGCAUGAUGUGAUCUGACAUAUUGUAGAAGAAUUUUGAAGGCCACACUGUUGGGAAUCAUUGUAUUGAAGCACAGUUCCAGGCCACGGACAACACAAGGUGCUUGGUGAGCUCUAAAUGGUACCUGCUUUCUGCUGGUAAACAUAAAAUGAAUUUGUGAUGGAAAGAAUUCACCCGUGAAGGCUGCCCGUCUCUGGGAAGAAGGAAGACAGAGAAUUUUGAGGUUCCAGGGGACAAGUAUAUCUCACAGCUGGAAAGAGGAAAGGAUGAAGACAAAAUUUGAACACAAGACUUAAAACAACUAAAUUAUCUCUAAGUAUUCUUAAGUAAUUUGAGUUAUAUUUGUCCUUCCCAAAACAACAAGACUCUAAGCCACCCAAGGGCAAGGGCUGAAGGGUAUCAUCUAUUUAUUCUGAAUCACCUUGAACAUCUUGACAUGGACUCUAUAUGAAACAUCUGUCGAAAAGGCAUUGAUGACUACAUCAAAGGAGAUAGAAAAUCACAGCUCCUUGAAAAUUGUUAUCAUUUUCUUUCAGAAGUGAUCAUUAUCAUUUUUGAGGAUGAAAAUGUAGGGAUUGGUGUCAUAUCUUUUUUAUUCCAGUGGGAACUGUCAAAAGUGUUUUGUUUUUGAUGCUUCUUUCUGAAUGAUUGAGAAAUGCUAAUCAUUUCAAAAAACAGAACAAAGACCAAGGCAUAUAAAGCCUUGAUAGAUUUUAUUUUAUUUUUUUUGAAAAUUCUUAUUUCUGAUGGAAAGGGAAUGAAGGAAAGGAAUAAGGCAAAUCAUGUUUCUCUGUAUGACACUGACAGCAUUAAUGCUGCCAGUUCUUCAUCCUACAGAAAGAAGGUUGUGUGGAUAUUAAUGCUCUCUCUGGAGAUGGGAAUAUGCCUCAUGUUGCUUAAGAUCAAUAUUUACCUUCGCAGACACUGAAGACAGAAUGGACUCUUUAAAAUUGACAUCAAAGUUCCAUUAACAUGUGCUUUCACAAAGAAAUGUCCUACUUUCUAGGCAGCAUUGCAAGUGCAUGGUAUUUCAUAUGUCUAUUGUUUUAGGCACUGAAAGGCCGGAAGAAAAAGGCUUGCUCUUCCAUUGCGCCUCUGCAUUUCAGGGAGCAGAUUCUGUAGAGUGCUCCAAAAUGAUAAUGAAGUCAAUGAUGAAGCAACGGGGACUUUAAGUAGUUAACGUCCCUCUGUAAGUGCCAAAAUCACUGUAUCAGGGAUUUGUCCACACAAGGAAUUCAGCUUUUUAUUUCUUACAAAUAAUGUGCUGCCAUGAAGAGAAACACAAAUACUCAUUCUGAAAUACUCUAUAGCAAAAUCUGCAAAGCUUAACAUCUGCAAAUUUUCUCCUUAACAUCUAUUUUUCAUAUGCUCCAUUGCUCCUUUUUAUUUUUGAAUAAUAAAAAAAUGCAAAAGAAAAUAACAGCAAAUUAAGCAGAGAUCCAGAAUUGGCAUGCAAAAUACCUGGUGUUUUCAACCAACAUUUAUCUUCACCCCAUUGUGGAGAGCUCAAUAAAUGCUAUUUGAAUAUGUUAUCAAUCAUCUAACAUAUUAGCGUGGAGAGAUGAUGCCAAACUGCUUUCACCUUUAAAAUACCUAAUUCUGGAAAGGACACGUGACUGUACAUAAAACAACCUCAUUUUCCCCCAUUAAUUAGACCUGGGCAGAUCAUUUAAUGGCAGGAAAUUAUGAUGGAGUUCAUUUUAUCAUUUAGCAGUUCAAUUAUACAGCAAUUCACAUAUAUAGGCAUAUAUGUGUUACUAUAUAUGCAUAGAUAUAUAUUAUUAACUUAUGUCUUGCCAUUGAACUGAGAAUAAAAUCCAAUGUCCUCACUGUAAAUUCAAAGGUCCUUCAUGAUUGAGCCCUGGUGUAUCUUUCUGACUUCACUUCCGACCACUCUCGUCCUCCCUCCCUGUGUUCCAGCCACACUCACUUUCCUUCUGUUUUUUGAACACAUGCAGCUCAUUCUGCUUAUGCGCUUUGCAGCUGCCUGUUCCACUGCCUAUAACAUCCUCACCUAAUACGGCAUGUAGGACUUUGCUCAAAUAGGUCUCUGCUCUCCCUUGGCCCUCUGUGUAGCAGCAGCACCCUUCUUCAUCACUGUAUCACUACUAGAGCAAUUAUCCAAAAUUAUCUUAUAUAGCCAUAUUCUUUUGUCUGUGCCUACUAAAAUGUAAGCUCCUUGAGAAGUCAAACCUUGUUUCUUUUAUUCACUCUUACUUUCUCAGCACCUAGGAUUUUUUUUUAAUAAAAUGCAUUUUAAUUACUAUAUGUUCUUCAAUAAUGAUUUGGAAUAUAGAGAAAACUCAAGGGAAAAAUCAUUCAUAAUCUUUUCUUUCUACUGUAAGUUCAGUUAAUUCAGAUGUAUUUCCUUCCAGUAUUUUUCCUCUAUUUAAAUUAUAAUGUUUAUUCCAACUCGCAUCUUACUGUUUCUUAAUGCUUAUGUCUGCCUAUGUCAGAAUCAUCCUGACUCAUUUGAGUGCCACAACAAUCCUGUGGAACAGCAAAACCAAGCUAUUAUUAACAAAUUACAAAUAAGGAAACUGAAACUCAUGAAGGCUAAAUGUCUUUCUUGCGCAAUGUCACCCACUCUGAGUCUAGGUUUGGCUCAUCUCUCAACUUUAUUGUCCAGAAUUUCUAUUCAUAAAUGAUCUGCUCAUUUUUCCUCACAAAGCAUGACCUUCUUUAUCACCAUCCCUUCAUUCCAUUGAUACUAAAUCUCUUUUCAGCUACUUAAAUCUUUCCCUUUAUAUCCUGCCUCUUUUGAUAAAUCUGGACAAUCUCAAUUCUCUAUACUUUUUCUCUUAAUAUGUAUUUACAAUUCAGAUCUCUGUCAUCAUUUCACACUUGGCAUAUGAUAUCUAAAUAGCUCAUAAAAAAUUAAUGGAAGUAUUCUGUCUAAUUCAACAUGUAUUUCUUCUUUGCAAUCCCAGUGCCUAUAUCUUCUGAUGUCUGUCCUCAUAGUUCAACUGAAUCAUAUGGAUAAUAAGAACCAUAUUUGGUUCAUCUUGUUUCCUUCCUCCAAACCAUGCCCAUGUGUCUAUACAUACUUAAAAAAUGGAUCAUUCAACAUAUGUUUAUACAGCUCCUUUGUACCAGGCGUUUUUUAAGGUCCUGAGGAUACUGCAAAUAAAUAAAACUAAAAUCUCCCUGUUCUCUUUGCAUUUCCAUUAUGGUAAUUUUACUAAAAAAAAUGGCAUCAAAAUGUAUAAGUGUUAAAAUAAAG